ACACUUACCUGAACGGGCUCAAUGGGCAAUCAAGAAGGUUCAUGGGCUAGGCUAGUUAUUUUCACUGCACUCGGAAGGGGUGCCAACCUAAGGUCGGUCCAAGUGGUCGAGCCUACGUCAUAAUUUGUGGCAAAGCGGCCCCUA
rfam:Punica granatum cultivar Dabenzi scaffold365, whole genome shotgun sequence.